UACGGAGGGUGCAAGCGUUAUCCGGAUUCACUGGGUUUAAAGGGUGCGUAGGUGGGCAGGUAAGUCAGUGGUGAAAUCUCCCGGCUUAACUGGGAGGGUGCGCCGAAGACUGGAAGGCUUGAGUAUGGGAGAGGUAAGCGGAAUUCCUGGUGUAGCGGUGAAAUGCGUAGAUAUCAGGAGGAACACCUGCGGUGUAGACGGCUUACUGGACCAUAACUGACGCUGAGGCACGAAAGCGUGGGUAGCAAACAGG
rnacentral:rRNA from 1 species